rfam:Planococcus sp. PAMC 21323, complete genome.
AAAACAAUUAUAGCGCCUGUACUGGAGAAAUUGGACGGACAAGUCAUCUCUAGUAGACGAGGAGAAGGAGUAUCGAAUUUUCGGCGGAUCCCUUCCGGCCAUGAAGCCUGGUCGUGAUGUCCAUUCUUAAAACAAUCGAGCGAUCGAUUGGACAACAAGAUGGAUAGGCUCAAAC